CCUACGGGAGGCUGCAGUGGGGAAUCUUCCGCAAUGGGCGCAAGCCUGACGGAGCAACGCCGCGUGCUCGAAUGCAGGCCUUCGGGUUGUAAAGUUCUGUUGUCCGGGACGAAUAAGCAAUGCGACUAGCUUUCUGUAUGACGGUACCUGUUUAGAAAGCUCCGGCUAACUACGUGCCAGCAGCCGCGGUAAUACGUAGGGAGCAAGCGUUGUCCGGAAUUACUGGGCGUAAAGGGCGCGUAGGUGGGCGAGUAAGUCAGGUGUGAAAACGCCGGGCUCAACCUGGAGACUGCACUUGAAACUGGGUGUCUUGAGGGCAGGAGAGGAAAGUGGAAUGCCUGGUGUAGCGGUGAAAUGCGUAGAUAUCAGGAGGAACACCAGUGGCGAAGGCGACUUUCUGGACUGUACCUGACGCUGAGGCGCGAAAGCGUGGGUAGCGAACGGGAUUAGAUACCCCUGUAGUC
rnacentral:rRNA from 1 species